rnacentral:rRNA from 1 species
GAUGAACGCUGGCUGCGUGCUUAACACAUGCAAGUCGAGCGGCAGCGCCCUGCUUUCUUGGGGUGCUCGAUUGCCGAACGCGUAAGUAACACUAGAGUAACUUGCCCUUGCCUUUUAGAUAUCUUCAGCAAACUGGGGCUAAUACUGGAUCAAGACUCCUGCAGCAUGGUGCGUGUUGACAUGAUUCGGCGGAUGGGGAUGGACUCGCGGCUUGUCUGCUGGUUGAUGGUGUAUUGGCUAACUAAGGAUUUGGUGGGUAGCCGGCCUGAGAGGGGGACCGGCACCAUGGGGACUGAGAUACGGCCCAGACUCCUACGGGAGGCAGCAGUGGGGGAUAUUGCACAAUGGGCGGAAGUCGGAUGCAGCAACGCCGCGUGCUGGAUUAUGGCCUUCUGUUUGUAAACCGCUUUCGCCGGUGACGAAGCGUGAUUGACGGUAAUGGAUAAAGAAGCACCGGCUAACUACGUG